CUGUCCUGGACACCCCUCCAGUGACACCUCAUUAACAGAGGAGCAUGGACGCCAGGGCACACCCUGCGUAACACUGUAAGUGUUCCCCGGCUGCUUCCAAGUGCCAAGGGAUGUUCUCUCCACUUCUUCUUCAUCCAAGAAGUUUAGGCAAACCAGCACAUUACUGUCUGGGGUCAUUCUCAGUCCUCAGCACCAGGGGACUGGCACCCAGGGAGCUUGAUUCCAUGAGUAACUGGCCUUCCCAAGAGGCCAGUUCUCUCAACACACUUGGGAAGAGACCGAGGCCAGAGGGGACAAGACUGGCCCACUGUCACUCAGUGAGUUGGUGACACUGUGGGGAUCUGGACAGACCCCAGGGCACUGACCUCCCAGCACAAGGCUUUUUCUACCAUGCACCUUGCCACGACCUGGCCCCAGCAGACCCCCCACAUUCUCCUCCCAAGAAGCGAGGCCAACUUUCAGUUCAGCUGAGGUCACCCAGAACUCCCGGUGGCUUUUGUCACAUCCAGCCUUACACUCCCAUCAGUGCCAAUGUCCCCAACCAGCCCUACCACCAAACUAGCAAUCUUCUGAACCCCAUGCUGUGAAGAACAAAGGACCAAUUCAGCCUCCUGGGCAGGGAAGGGGUCUCAUUAAGGCCCUGGGAGCCAACGUGGGGGCUGAGGUAUUGUUUUUAAUGGAAUAACAAGAAUUUGCUGUUAUGUGUUAGAUUAAAGGCUUUAUCCUGGGGAAUUAAUCGGAUUGCUACUGGCCUUGAGUCGCAUAGCCUUUGACUUCACAUCCUCAGAGAAGUCACAGACCAGGGCUGUGAAAUUGGUUCAUUUCUCUUUCUGGUAUUUAAUGAAGCCCCAGACAGCCGUGGCACGGCAUCUCCUCCCCAGGGCGGCUGUGAAUUACCUCUCACCUGCACUGGCGACAGUCUCUGAGCACUCACCAGCCCACCCCCCUCCUCCGCUAAUCCAUCCAAGACACACUGCCAGAUUCAUCCUCGGAAAACAUAGCUCUGGUCACGAACUGCUCAGAAGCCUGGGUCUGCCCACCGCCUCCAGAAUAAUCUUCAAAUUCUCCCAUCCCCUGAGCUCCUGUUUCAACAAACUUCAACUUUUUAUUGGAGUAUAAUACACAGGUGGAAUAGUACAUGGAUUGGAGGUGUACAUAUUGAAUUUUCACAGAGUAGCGGUGCAGGCCUCUAGCCAUCCCCCAGAACAAGAAACAGAACCAUGCCAACGCCCCAGAAAACCUCCCACCACACCUCCCUUCCGGUUGGCAGCCUUCUGUCCCAGGGGUGACAAUUACUCUGCUUUCCACACUAUUUUUAAGUGGUUUUUACAUUUUUAUACAUGAAAUUAUACAGUACGUUGUGUAUGCUUUUGUGUUCAAUAUGCUUUAAAAAGGUGGCCUCUCCUUCCAGCUCUGCAUACCCCACACAGCCAGGAAAUAGUAGGCACCUCCCAGACAGACCCCACCAUGCGACCCUG
rnacentral:lncRNA from 1 species